rnacentral:rRNA from 1 species
GAUGAACGCUAGCUACAGGCUUAACACAUGCAAGUCGCGGGGCAGCAUGUAUCUGGCUUGCCAGGUACGAUGGCGACCGGCGCACGGGUGAGUAACGCGUAUCCAACCUGCCCAUAACCACGGCACAGCCCGUCGAAAGGCGGAUUAAUGCCGUAUGAGGUUCCAUUGUAGCAUUAUUAUGGAACAAAGGCUUUGCGGUUAUGGAUGGGGAUGCGUCCGAUUAGCUAGUUGGCGGGGUAACGGCCCACCAAGGCGACGAUCGGUAGGGGUUCUGAGAGGAAGGUCCCCCAUACUGGAACUGGAGACACGGUCCAGACUCCUACGGGGGGCAGCGAGUGAGGAUAUUGGUCAAUGGGCGGAAGCCUGGACCAGCCAGUAGCGUGCAGGAUGACGG